rnacentral:lncRNA from 1 species
CAUGAUUCAAAACAACUUGUCCUAUUUAUCAUUUAGGCCAUGUUUGACCCACAUUUUUUCAAAAAAAUACAUUUUUAAACAGUGAUUUGACAUCAUUUCACUCACAUUUUUCAAUAAAAUAAUAUUACACGCAAAUUCAGAACUUUUCUUUAAUUUUUAACCACACAUUUAUCAUUAAUACACUAUUAAAAAUGCUGGCUCAAACAAGGGCUUAAUUAAAACGCGACAGACAGCCAGUUCGAUAGCUGAACCAGCCAAUGAGCCAUUUGGUUCUUAUAUUAAAUGAACAAGACACUCACCCAGAAAACAAAACCGAUUUGAUCCAGCUCCAGUUUAAUAUAUUCAGCUGAUACUUACGUUCUAGCUUAAAGGUUAAGUUUAAACUUUUAAAUCCAUCAGAAUCACAUAGAUCCACAAAGAAACUUUUAUAAAACAAAACAUUCAAGUUUUUCACUCUACUUAUGUCUUUUCCUUCCUUUUUUUAUUGGAAUAUUCAUCUCUCUAGCUUACUUCUCCUUUUCUUCCUUUCUAUUUGCAUGUUUCUCUCUCUGUACACAGAUGUACAGCAGUUAAUAACUAUGAAUAAAAUAUGAUCCUGCAGUUGUAUUUUUUUGAAUAUUUUUUAUUUGAUUGUUAUUGUACAUAACAAAAAAGGUAAUUUCAUAAACUAUAAUUACAAAUCUGAGUAUCUUUGUGUAUCUAUGUGGCACACAGUAGGUAAUGGAUAUAGUCUGUAUUUUGUGAUUCUCUUCUCUGUUUCUGUACGAGCCCACUGUAUAUUUUAUCACCACCAUGGUCAUAUGCUCAGAGUCAAGAAAAUCAAACAAAAAAUCAGUAGCUUGCUAGCAUUACAAAUACCUACUAAUGGAAAAAGGAUCCUAGAGAAAAGCAAAGAUACCUAAUCAUAACUCAAAUCACAACUCAAACCUAAUAAAUAUGGAAAGGAAAAAAAUUAAAUUAAUGAAAAUCAAUCAAAAUUGUAAUCUAUCUCUUAAUCUUGUGCCUCAAAUAUGUUUUUGGCAUGUUUCAAAUGUCAGUUUCAUCAUAUGAUCCAUUUAUCCUUAAUAAUAUUGCGUCCCCCAAUUCCCCUUUUUGAAAUUAAAAAUGUACUCUACAAGGUGGAUAGACAAUCAUCAAUUGCUACAAUCGGUGAAAAACACACAAAAACUGAAUUGUAAACUCGGAAGAAUUUUGUAUUUUAAAAAAAAUAAUAAAAAAAAAAAAUCGCUUCUUAUAUAAAUAGAAUUAAU